AACGAACGCUGGCGGCAGGCUUAACACAUGCAAGUCGAACGCAUCCUUCGGGGUGAGUGGCAGACGGGUGAGUAACGCGUGGGAACGUGCCCUUCAGUUCGGGAUAACCCAGGGAAACUUGGGCUAAUACCGGAUACGUGCGAGAGCAGAAAGAUUUAUCGCUGAAGGAUCGGCCCGCGUCUGAUUAGCUAGUUGGGGGGGUAAUGGCCCACCAAGGCGACGAUCAGUAGCUGGUCUGAGAGGAUGAUCAGCCACAUUGGGACUGAGACACGGCCCAAACUCCUACGGGAGGCAGCAGUGGGGAAAAUUGGACAAUGGGCGCAAGCCUGAUCCAGCCAUGCCGCGUGAGUGAUGAAGGCCUUAGGGUUGUAAAGCUCUUUCGUCCGGGACGAUAAUGACGGUACCGGAAGAAGAAGCCCCGGCUAACUUCGUGCCAGCAGCCGCCGUAA
rnacentral:rRNA from 1 species